CUACUUCUGUUUGAGACAUGGCUAGCGCUGUUUGCUGAGGAAACGCACCGUAGAUCGUUACACGAGGCCUUGUAUCGUGCCCAAGCGACAGUAUGGUGUCCCUGUGGGUUAUGGUGACGCGCAUGAGUAAGGUCAUGUCACCCCUGAAGAUGGCGAAGGCAAUAGCUUCCGUGAUAAGGGGGAAGCUCUGCUUUUGCAAAAAGAAGAAGAAGAGACUGGCAAAGAAGAAUUCGAAGGGAAAGGCGUCACAGAACACAAAUAAGUCAGAUGGCCCACCAGAGAAGGGACGCAAAGCAGGCAGUUUGGAAAAGGCCAAAAAUUUGAAAGCAGGCAGUUUGGAAAAGGCCAAGAAUUUGAAAGCAGGCGGUUUGGAUAAGGCCAAGAAUUUGAAGAAACGUUUUCUGAAGUGAUCGAGACUCAACCAGACACUGUAGGAGCUGCCACAGCAACAUCCCAUUCCUUACCAGUAUCUGACAUAUAGACCGAUCCUGACAUCAUUAGCAGUUCAACCAAUCAGAGCCUGUCAAUUAGAAGCGUA